CUGUGAAAUAAGUGAAGCAUACCGAGGGGAUACAUUCAUAGGCUAUGUUUGUAAAUGUCCCCGAGGAUUUAAUGGGAUUCACUGUCAGCACAACAUAAAUGAAUGCGAAGUUGAGCCUUGCAAAAAUGGUGGAAUAUGUACAGAUCUUGUUGCUAACUAUUCCUGUGAGUGCCCAGGCGAAUUUAUGGGAAGAAAUUGUCAAUACAGUAAGUAUUCACGUGUGUGUAUGUGUGUGUGUGUGUGUGUGUGUGUGUGUGUGUGUAUGUAUACACACACACAUAUAUGUAUGCAUAUAUAUUUUUAUGUACAUCAUCUAAAUUUAUUUUGAAAUCUGGGCCAAAAUCAAUAUUAUUUGCCUUCAGAGUGCAUAAUCCAUUGAAAUGGCACUUUUCAUAUUUGUGGUAUGUUAUUAAUGCACACAUAUUCUCUAGGGUGUCUCAUUUAGUGCACAAUAUGCAUAGAAAUGGUAUCUUGUGACCUGAAAAGAAUGAUAACAUUUCCUCAGAUACUCAAGUUCCACGAAUCCCAUUUUGGUUUAUGAUUAUGCAUAUGACUGAAAUUUCUACCACCAAAGUGACACUUUGGUUCUGAGAGUAAAUUCAGGGCAUUGAAACCAGAUAGACAGGGCACACUGGCUCAUGCCUGUAAUCCCAGCACUUUUAGAGGCCUCAGCAAGAGGAGCCCAGGAGCUCAAGACCAUCCUGGGCAACACAGUGAGAACCCAUCUCUAAAAGAAACGAAAUAAAAAUAAAAUAAAUCAGUUAGCCUCUGUUAUAAAUAAAACGUAAAAAUAAAGGAGGAUGCAUUUGGGCCGUCCCACACGCUAGCAAGAAUGUUGCACACUAUUUAUUUGUCUUAUUGGAAGCUGAAGAAAGUAGGGUCUUGAAAUGAUGCAUCAAAUGACAGGGCAGUUAUUUGCCUUAAGUGUUUACAAAGAGGCAGAAAGCACCACUUAC
rnacentral:lncRNA from 1 species